GCUAGGAUAGCAUCAGGUUUUUAGCUUGGAAAAUCAUGUGGCUGGUACAGCUAAUAGCAGAGAGAGGAACAAGAGAAGGCGCAUGCUUGGGGAAAUACAAGAAUUAAUGAUAUGUGCUGAGAUCGAGGUGACUGUGAGACACAGCGGCAGAAACUUCUAGUGGGCAGUUGAACAUCUGGAUGUGGUGGUUAGAAUAGAAAGUUGAGUCAGCCACACUGACGUCAAGUGUACACCAACCACUCAACCAGAGCAUGAAAACUGAUCAUAGAGGACAGAAGGCUGAAGUUAUGGACGAGAUGGGGAAGACUUAAGCAUGUUCAGAGUCUAUGGUGAACGUUAUCUAUAAAAAGGAGAGGGCAGAAAACAUAGAAAAGAAAGGAAAGAAUCAAUUAUGUAAGCUUCUGGAGUAGAAAAGAGGGAAAGGAAUUGAGAAGGCAGGAGGAGGAACUGGCCUGGAACAAAACAAAGGACAAAACCCCCUCUGAGAUCGAUGGGAAAAAAGGAGGAGGCUGAGAUGGGAGGAUCACCUGACACCAGGAGUUCGAGACCAGCAUGAACAAUACGGUCAAACAUUUGACACACACUCUAGAGGCAUCCUCUACAUGAAUCAGGGAGUUGCUACCAAACUCCAGCUCACGCACUCUCUGGAAGAGGCCACUCCUUGAGAUAAAGAGCCCUCCAGUUCAUAAAUACUACGGAGAGUUGCCACAUCUUAUUGCAUACCUAAGAAGCUGACCCAACCCUCAAAGUUUUAAGACUCAAAUCUGAAUUGAUUCCAAUGGACUGUAGAGUUCCCCAGCUCCAGGAGAGAGAAGGUAAAAAACAAGCUUUCAAAAAAAUUUCUACUAUUAUAAUCUGAAAAUGAUCACAGAAGAACUCAGUUCCUAUGUACAUAAGCAGAGUUUUAGUGCUCUUUUCUGAUGUGAUAAAAUUGUCAUUUUGAUCCUUUUGUAUAGUUCAUAAGCGUGAUGAUUGGGGUUUCACCUCAUGUGUAAGAUGUGCCUCCCUCAAACCUUACUACAAGGUCAGCACAUUACCUGUCUGACAUAAAAACAUGAAAAAAAAUUGUAAUCUUAUGUUGGUUGUUACAUUAUUUAGAAUCCUACAUUUAGAGCUAAGAGGCAACUUGAAGAUCAUAGUUCAACUGAUUUUACAAAUGAGAAUGUUAUGGCCAGGGUAAGUUAAACAACUUGCCCAAAUAACUAGAAAGUGGCAGAUGAGAAUCCACAUUGCCCGACACCUAAUUCAUCACUCUCCCUACUCCUCUACAAUAGAUAUUUACUCACAUUCAAUAGAUAACGUACUGAAUGUUAACUAUGUGCAACACACCCAGGGAUUAAAAAGUGAAUGCAAUCACCCCCAUAUGGAAUCUAAACAAUGGUGGGUUUUAGAUAAUAUUUUCUCAGUUUUAAUAUGCAAGUCAUCACAUGAAGCUUUAGGUGAAAUGUUAAGAGGAAUAACUGAAAUUAACUCUCCUCAUAGCUGUAACUCUUCCUUUUUAAUCCUUCUAUCUACUCUGUAGCCCUUCCAACUACAGAAGGUGGAUAUCAAAGUGAAAGCAUCAAUGAUGAUGAUGAUGAUGAAGGCAAUGAAGAUGAUAACACCAAUUAUGAGCUAUUCACUUUUUGUGAGCCAUUAUUCUGAAAUAUGCAUUACCUUAUUCAUUACCUUAUUUAAUUAUCUCAACUACCUUAAAGGGAAGAUACUGUUAUUAUCUCUAUUUUACAAAGGAUAUGAAAUGAAUAAGUCAAAUGCCCAAACAGAGGGUAGUUGAAAUGGGGAUUAUACCCCAGCAUGCCUUCAUUACUACUAUCUCCCAAGAUUUUCUGGCCUUGAGUCUUUCCUUCAAUAGCUGGAAAUUACUUGCCCCUUCUGGAUCUCAAUUUCUUCAUCCGUGUAAUGAUGGAGUGGGAAAAUUAUUAUUUCCAAUGGAUCUUCCAAGUCGAGCAUUCUGUGAUUUACUGAUUUGUGAUAGUUUCCAAUCUCUUGUGGCAGAGGAAGGAAGCCACUUUGCAAAAUCUAAGGAUGAUUUUGACCCAAAUUACAAACUCCAGACCUUUGACUAUACAGAGGUUUCAGAAUAACAGAAAGAGGGAGUAGUUACAGGUUUGACACAUCUUUAACCUUCAGCUGAGCUCCAGCCUCAGGUGUUUUUUAAAGCUAAUCACUAACAAUAGUGUUUAAGCAAGAAAGAAGGUUUUCGAAAUUCCUAAUGAUGAUCAGGAAGAGUUUGUAAAAACAUGGGAAAAUAUAAUGUUAUCGUAUCAAAGAAAAAAGUGGGAUAUAAUAAUGGGCUGCUUUUUUAAAACACGGGGAAAGAAGCAAGAACAUUCAACAGUUGUUGUAUCGGGGUAACAGGAUUUAUGAGAUUUUUUCUUUCUCCUUUUCCUUAUUUCUCUCUUUUUAUGUAAGCUUAAAUUAUCUACAUAAUUAGAGGGGAAACUUUCUUUACAAAGAGAAAAAUGGUGCCAAAUAUUCUCAUAUUGAUUUCUCCUGAAAACAAAGAAAACACUCUCCUGAAAAAUAUCUCAGUAACAACACUACCGAAAUUCCAGAAAUACAGGUUUAGAGGAAAACUCCAAUAUUGCCCACUAUGAAGGGAGAAGAAAAGACUCCUCUAUUGCUUCAAGCCUAGAAGAAUUAAGUUUUUUAGAGGAUGUCACAGGAAUGCUGGCAGGGAAAGUUGCUUUGGAGUCCAGGGACACACAGCUUUGUAAAGCUCAGCCCAGGAAAAAGAGAACAGGUGCAGCUGAUGAAGCAGCAGACCGUGACAGCCAAAUGACGGUGGCCCCAUCCAGAAAUCCCAGCCUGGAGCAGGUUCUCCCUGAGCAGACCUGCCGUGCACCACGGCCAGCCACAUGGCCAAGGGGACUUUCCAUGAGCACAAAUGCCCUUUCCUCACUGAAGCACUGCAGCAGAGGGAAGACAGGUAGCAUAUUUCAUGGAAUAUGUAACUACUAAAACAAACCAAACCACCAAACCAAACUAAUUUAUGCUUUCAUCAGGCUUUAAGGUAAGCACGCUGUAUAGAUAACACCCAUGUUCCUAUAUAAAAACACAAUCUAUAUACACAUGUGGCCCAGUUUACAACACAGAUCAAUGAGUGUGGUUCAGGAUGGUUACAAUGAAACACUUCACUCUUUGGCACUGUGAAAACAUUUUGUAAACAUUCAUUAUUUCUCUGGUGAUUCCUACUUAUACUACAAAAAUUCAGGAAUGACUGCAGCUUUAAAAUCACAUUCAGGAUGCUAUUAAUUACAUAUGAACUCUCUGCCUUACUUGAACAGUAUUUUACACUACUUUGUGGCAAGUAGAUGAAGACAGAUCUGAUAUACAAAGAAUAGGAAAACUAGAACAGGAAAAGUCAGCUCCUCCUCUGGGAGACUGACAGACAAUAUGUGGCAUCAACAACCCAUUACACCCUGAUUCAGCUGAGGUCUGCAAGGAGCCAUGGUGCCCAACUUACCAACAGCUCCAGACUUGCCUUAAGCACGUACAUCACUCUGCGUGUUUCAAGCACUACCACCAGCAAGAAUGCAACAACACAAAGGCCUGCAUGUGUCUUCUAAUUAGUUCAUUUAUUAAUUGAAAAAGACAUAUUUCUGUUACUUGCUACCAACUCAUUUGAACGAUUAUUUAAAAUUUGAAAAUAUAAGGCAACGAAAUAAACAGAUGUCAUCUCAUGUUUUAAAGGCAUUUUUUUUCUGUUUCUAAGUACAAAGUUGGCAGCUAGUGACUUUAGCUGGUAGUCAUUAAAUGCAUCUAACAUUAGAUAAAGAAAUGUAACCUACCUCAUCAAAGGUGGUGUCAUCUUUCUUCAAAGCUAUAAAAUAAGAAGGAAAAGGAAACAGUUAUUGUGAAAAAUUCCAAAGAGACUAUCUAAGUUAUAGAAAACAGAAAAAAAAACAAGGCAGUAUGGUGUUUUCAUUUCAGAAAGUAAAUUGUGCCCCAACCUGAAUAACAAUGU